rnacentral:tRNA from 1 species
CUGUGGACCCGGAAGUCCCGGGUUCAAAUCCCGGCCCGAGCC